rnacentral:rRNA from 1 species
UGGGGAAUCUUGGACAAUGGGCGCAAGCCUGAUCCAGCCAUGCCGCGUGAGUGAUGAAGGCCUUAGGGUUGUAAAGCUCUUUUGCCUGGGACGAUAAUGACGGUACCCGGAGAAUAAGUCCCGGCUAACUUCGUGCCAGCAGCCGCGGUAAGACAGAGGGUGCAAACGUUGUUCGGAAUCACUGGGCAUAAAGCGCACGUAGGCCGUCCGCUAAGUUUCGUGUGAAAUCCCCCGGCUCAACCGGGGAACUGCACGGGAUACUGGCGGACUCGAGGAUGGUAGGGGUGAGUGGAACUCCAGGUGGAGCGGUGAAAUGCGUAGAUAUCUGGAGGAACACCGGUGGCGAAAGCGGCUCACUAGGCCGACACUGACGCUAAGGUGCGAAAGCUAGGGUAGCAAACGGGAUUAGAUACCCCGGUAGUCCCUGAGCGGGCUGGCAAGGCGCAU